UACGUAGGGGGCAAGCGUUGUCCGGAAUCACUGGGCGUAAAGGGUGCGUAGGCGGAUCUUUAAGUCAGGGGUGAAAUCCUGGAGCUCAACUCCAGAACUGCCUUUGAUACUGAGGAUCUCGAGUUCGGGAGAGGUGAGUGGAACUGCGAGUGUAGAGGUGAAAUUCGUAGAUAUUCGCAAGAACACCAGUGGCGAAGGCGGCUCACUGGCCCGAUACUGACGCUGAGGCACGAAAAGCGUGGGGGAGCAAACAGG
rnacentral:rRNA from 1 species